CCACUGUAGUCACCAGUUUGGUGUCUAGAGGCAGGAAGGCAAACGAAAAUUUCACAUUGUUUGAUAAGUUCUUCAUCGCAGGCUUUACUAAAAAGGUGGAGCUCUGCAUCAGGAGAAUUGGUUUUUUUUCAAUAUGGAUACGACUAAGGAGGAAGAUGUAGGAGAAGAAAAUCGAACCGUGGUUUGCCAAGGUGCUGCGGUUAUCCAAAGAGGCUGGAAAAGAAAGAAACAAUAUCUGACCUUGUUCAAUGACAUUUUGGUGGUAUCCAGUAAACUGUAAGUAUACGCAUCAUGCUUUCCUUACUAUAAGAGGCUACUCAGUGGAAAGGCCUUAAGUUACAAAACUGUUUAUGACUUCCUUUAUUUUUUAGAUUAUAAUUACUUCACAUUCUCCUUCCUUUUCCUCUUCCAUGUCCUUUAACAUCCUUACAUAUACUCCUCCUUAUUCUCUUUUGAAAUCAUGGCUUUCUGGUUUUUUUAUUACUCAUUCUUAGACAUUAUUUCUAUGUAAGCUAACAUAAGAUACACAUAUAUAAUAGAUAUGCAUGGAUACAUUUAUAUGUACAGUUUCUAAGUACUUAAAUAUAACCUAAUCAGUCAGUAUAGUAUUGCUUGUAUUUGUGUUUUCAGGAAUGUGUAUUUGGUAUUAGAUAAGCAAUCUAAUUGACAAUCCUAGGGGAGAUUUCUCUUAUUUUCAAGUUUCCUUAGUGGCAUAUACUUCUUUGAGUAGGAUUGAUGUUUACUGGACUACUCCUAUAUAUUUCUCAAUUUGUUUUGACACAUUCUUUGGGCACAUUUAAAAAACUAAUUAAUUAAGGUACUACUCUGCUGUUUGAAUCUGGUGAAAGAUUAGCGACAAGCUACCAAGGAGACAGUUAUGCAGGCAUGUGCCCACAUUUCUAGCAUUUUUUAAAACUAACUUAGGAGUAUUACAACUGGUAAUGAGAGCCUUGUGAACUAUAUAGUGACACAUUUCUCUAAAUAAAAUAUUAAACUCCUGAUAAGCAGGAGCCUUCUUGCUUGGUGUUUACAAAUAGAUUACAGAAGCAAGAUUGUUGGUCGUAAGGGGCUACACAUGUAAGCCUCCUGACCUCAUAGCUUCCAGAUUAGCAUGAAGAGACAGGAAGCAGCUUCUAUCUCUCCACUAUCAAGGGAAACUGCUGGCACUAAGUCUUGCUUGGUGAUUCUGCAGACACUAGAGAAAACUGUUGUGAUUGAACGAAACUGUGUACUUGGUUAUAUUAGAAAUUAUGACCAUAGAGAUGUUUUCUGGGACCACAUCAUGUAUAAUCUCCACUACUUAUGAUCACAGCCUUCUAGAAUAUGUGAUGCUGGUAUUGAUACUAUCAAGUAAAUAUCUUAAGUGGUGUUCUCAUAAGUACAUAAAUUUAUCAGACAGACAUCAAUAAAAUAGUCUAUUCCAUUUUUGGGGGGACAGGGGUUAAAUUUUCUGAUCAUCAGUGAAUCAUUUUCCAGAAGAUCCAUUUCACAGAUUGUGAGAAAAAUAAAAUAUUCAGGUGAGAGUUCUUCUAUACAUUAUAAAUACACCAACUGGGUACGUUUUUCUGGCAACCCUGAUCAGUCAUGUAAGCUCCUUCACAGAAAAUGGUAAUUAGUGUCUGAGGCAGGCUGAAAAUAAAAGAAUGGACUGGGUGUCUGUCAAUCUGUCCAUCUUUCUUGUUUUUUGUACACAACUCCCUUUCCACAGUGGGAAAUCUUCACAUUUUAUUUUAAAAGAUAGUAAUCAACUCAUCGGAAAUGUAAAAAGAAAUAAACUGAUCACUUGCCAUAUAAGUGUAGUUGAUGGAAGGAAGUAAACUUAACUUUGUGUUGAGAAUAAAGGAAACGGAAAUGGUUGGUUUCUUAAAGGCAGUACAUGUGGUCCCUUCUGUCGUG
ensembl:lncRNA